UCAGGAUGAACGCUGGCGGCGUGCCUAACACAUGCAAGUCGAGCGGAGAUAAGUGAAGCCUAGCGAUCUAUCUAGCGGCGGAUGGGUGAGUAACACGUGGGUAACCUGCCCUGUACUGGGGGAUAACAGCUGGAAACGGCUGUUAAUACCGCAUAUGCGCACGGAGCCGCAUGGCCCUGGGCGGAAAGAUUCAUCGGUACAGGAUGGGCCCGCGCCGGAUUAACUUGUUGGCGGGGUAACGGCCCACCCAAGGUGAUGGAUCCCGUAGCCGACCUGAGAGGGUGACCGGCCACAUUGGGACUGAGACACGGCCCAAACUCCUACGGGAGGCAGCAGUGGGGGAUAUUGCACAAUGGGGGAAACCCUGAUGCAGCGACGCCGCGUGAAGGAAGAAGUAUUUCGGUAUGUAAACUUCUAUCAGCGGGGAAGAAGAUGACGGUACCCGCACAAGAAGCCCCGGCUAACUACGUGCCAGCAGCGGC
rnacentral:rRNA from 1 species